GAUGAAGAACGCAGCGAAAUGCGAUACUUGGUGUGAAUUGCAGAAUCCCGUGAACCAUCGAGUCUUUGAACGCAAGUUGCGCCCGAAGCCACUAGGCCGAGGGCACGCCUGCCUGGGCGUCACACGUCGUUGCCCCCCACCAUCUACUCCUUCGGGAUUGCGGGGGGCGGAUGAUGGCCUCCCGUGCGCCUAGCCGCGCGGUUGGCAUAAAUACCAAGUCCUCGGCGACGCACGCCACGACAAUCGGUGGUUGCGAAACCUCGGUUGCCCGUCGUGUGCGUUCGUCGCGCAUCGAGGGCUCGAAAAAAUGCUCGGCUCCGGCUCGGCUUUCAACGCGACCCCAGGUCAGGCGGGGUUACCCGCUGAAUUUAAGCAUAUCAAUAAGCGGCGGA
rnacentral:misc_RNA from 1 species